rnacentral:rRNA from 1 species
UACGAAGGGGGCUAGCGUUGCUCGGAAUCACUGGGCGUAAAGCGCACGUAGGCGGAUUCUUAAGUCAGGGGUGAAAUCCCGGAGCUCAACUCCGGAACUGCCUUUGAUACUGGGAGUCUCGAGUUCGGGAGAGGUGAGUGGAACUGCGAGUGUAGAGGUGAAAUUCGUAGAUAUUCGCAAGAACACCAGUGGCGAAGGCGGCUCACUGGCCCGAUACUGACGCUGAGGUGCGAAAGCGUGGGGAGCAAACAGG